AGAUCCCUGCCUGCUUGAAGUCUUCUGAAGAUCCCUGAAAGGAGGCUGUGGUGAGGUGGGGUGUUGGCCUCUUCUCUCAGGGAGCAGGUACAGAGCUACCCAGGCUUGUACACAAGCACGUGCCUUUUCUUCCAGUUUCUCUUGCAUUGUGGAGAAUCGGCCAGCAGAGGUUGAGUUAUGCCUCUUGGUUGGAUUAGUCAGAGCUACAUCAGCGCACAAGAAAGAUGGACUGUAAAAGGGAAGCCACAGGAAACUUGAUCCUGGUGAAAUAAAUGAGCUCAAUGUUGUUUAUAGCCUCUCACAACACACCCACAUCCCUUUGCCUUCUCACAG
ensembl:lncRNA